rnacentral:rRNA from 1 species
GAUGAACGCUGGCGGCGUGCCUAAUACAUGCAAGUCGAGCGAACAGAUGAGGAGCUUGCUCCUCUGACGUUAGCGGCGGACGGGUGAGUAACACGUGGAUAACCUACCUAUAAGACUGGGAUAACUUCGGGAAACCGGAGCUAAUACCGGAUAAUAUAUUGAACCGCAUGGUUCAAUAGUGAAAGACGGUUUUGCUGUCACUUAUAGAUGGAUCCGCGCCGCAUUAGCUAGUUGGUAAGGUAACGGCUUACCAAGGCGACGAUGCGUAGCCGACCUGAGAGGGUGAUCGGCCACACUGGAACUGAGACACGGUCCAGACUCCUACGGGAGGCAGCAGUAGGGAAUCUUCCGCAAUGGGCGAAAGCCUGACGGAGCAACGCCGCGUGAGUGAUGAAGGUCUUCGGAUCGUAAAACCCUGUUAUUAGGGAAGAACAAAUGUGUAAGUAACUAUGCACGUCUUGACGGUACCUAAUCAGAAAGCCACGGCUAACUACGUG